CUGAUAAUGAUGAGAAUUCUUUAUUCUACCAGAAAAUGAUGAUGGUUUGUAUAUGAGCUUUUUAACCCUGAAACAGU